rnacentral:rRNA from 1 species
AGUCUGGUGCCAGCAGCCGCGGUAAUUCCAGCUCCAAUAGUGUAUAUUAAUGUUCCUGCAGUUAUUUGAUGCUCGUAGUUGGAUUUCUGGGGGCUGAGAUUGGAAGGUGGCCAAGGUCACCGCCGAACUCUUCCUUCAUCCACCUGUUAACGUUGUCCGGGAUUUGUUUCUCGGCUUCAGGCUCAGGUAUUUUACCCUUUCUAUAUAUUCAUUUAUUUAUCUUCUUUUUGAGUAAAUUAUAGUGUUUCAGGCAGGCGUGCGCCGGAAUACUUUAGCAUGGAAUAAUCGAAUUGGACCGUGUAUUCUUAUAGAAUUCUUCCUUAUUUGUUGGUUUCAAGGACACGGAAAUGGUUAAUAGGGAUAGUGUUUUCAGGGGAGUCAUUAGUAUUUAAUCUCCAGAGGUGAAAUUCUUUGAAAUAUUAAAGACUAACUUAUGCGAAAGCAUUUAUUUUGCCAAUAAUGUUUUCAUUAAUCAUUGAACGAAAGUUAGGGGAUCAAAGACGAUCAGAUACCGUCCUAGUCUUAACCAUAAACGUUGCCGACUAGGGAUCGGAGGGCGUGCACAUUCCGCCUUCGGCACCUUACGAGAAAUCAAAGUCUUUUGGGUUCUGGGGGUAGUAUGGUCGCAAGGCUGAAACUUAAAGGAAUUGACGGAAGGGCACCACCAGGAGUCGAGCUUGCGGCUCAAUUUGACUCAACACGGGAAAUCUUACCAGGUCCAGACAUAGCGAGGAUUGACAGAUUGAUAGCUCUUUCUUGAUUCUAUGGGUAUUUAUUUUAAUUUUGGUGGUGCAUGGCCGUUCUUAGUUGGUGGAGUGAUUUGUCUGGUUAAUUCCGUUAAACGAACGAGACCUCAGCCUGCUAAAUAGUUACCUGUCUUUCUUUUACGAGACUUGAUAACUUCUUAGAGGGACGUUGUGUGCAACCACAAGGAAGUUGAGGCAAUAACAGGUCUGUGAUGCCCUUAGAUGUCCUGGGCCGCACGCGUGCUACACUGAUACGUACAACAAGGUAUAUGCAUUUAUGCAUCGAUGCUGCUCCGAAAUAGACACAGCUAAAUCUUCUAAAAUACGUAUCGUGCUGCGGAUAGAUCGUUGAAAUUAUGGAUCUUGAAGGUGGAAUUCCUAGUAAGCGCGGGUCAUCAACCCGCGUUGAUUACGUCCCUGCCCUUUGUACACACCGCCCGUCGCUCCUACCAAUUUCGAGUGGCUCGGUGAACCUCUUUGGACUGUCGAGCAAUCGCGAAAUUAGAGUGAACCUGGUCAC